rnacentral:lncRNA from 1 species
AUGAGUUGGAUUGCGCUACACACUUGGUUUUGGAAUCGACUCUUGGACUCAUGGCAUGACUGUGUGCCUGAGGCUGACUCAGAAUUCCCACCAUCGCCCUCUGCUGCUCUCCUGGUCAUCCUUGGCACCUGGUUGGAAAUGGAAUUUGGACACUGCAUUGCGUUCGUCUUGUGCUGCAGCUGCAGGCCCUCUCAUGACUGCCCCAGGAAACACUGGCAGCUAGUGAGAAUCUUCAGGCAGCCAUGAACAGUGUGAGAUGAUUUUGUUAACUUCAGCCUCAUGUCCACGCUCUGAGCACGUCUGAGUGAGAGGGCUCAGCUAUGAUGCCCGGAAGGUGAGAUGCCUCAAAUGCAUUUUGACCUGGGGCAUUUUAAACUUAUGAUGGGUUUGUUGGGAUGUGACCUCACCAGUCCAGGAGCAUAUGUGCUAUGAGUAUUCAUUUUCUUCCUAUAAUUUCUCCAGCUUGUGCAUUGGGAGCUCUGAAGACCUCCUUGACAUUCACUCCCUGAAGUUCCCAGAGCCACUGCUCUUCCCUGACAUCUUAUGCAAGGCAGGAGGUGUGGGGUCAGUUUCCACAAGGAAGAGGGACUGAUCCAGUCUGUUGGUCCCUGCAGAUGUGACUUUUGCAACGUUUGUAACUUUCCUAUUAGCCUAAAAUUAUCUCAAAAUACAAAGUUAAAAAAUGAAUCAAGUGAGUUAACACUGGAAUUUGCAGAUGAAUGCUGAUGAGAGCAACAAUAAUAAAAAUAAUAGUGACCUUUGUUGAGUGUGGCAAGCAGUGUGCUAGCAUCGCAUCAAAUCUUCCUUAGGAACCCAGGGUUUUCCUAUGAGCAUCCUGGGAGUAUGGCAAGGCAGCCAGGGAAGUGGAGCCGUUCCAGGGACACCCCUCUCCACUGCCGCUUGCUGGCAGUGUUCACUCUGUUAGUUCAAUGUUUGCCUUAAUACACCCUUUAGAAUCACACUGUAUCCUUGGAGCCUUCAGCGGUUGAUAAAAAAAGAAGGCUUCUGUGUACACAUUGGCAACUCUACCACACAAUUUCCAGUGUAGCUCCAGAAGCUAAAAAUAACCACGUGCUUUCUGUUUCAUGCAGAAAAGAGGACGUGUGCACUUUAUUUCGUAACACUUACCAUUUUUGAAACUCUGAUUUUUCCCACAUGUAUUUUUAAAAUGUCCUUGAAGGAAAAGACACGAUGUGGAUUUUGCCAGUUUCCUCUUUUCUGUAAUCCAGCUCAGGUCUAGGGGCAGGUCCAGAUCUUCAGG